CAAGCGUUGUCCGGAAUUAUUGGGCGUAAAGGGAGCGCAGGCGGUUGGAAUAGUCUGAUGUGAAAGCCCACGGCUUAACCGUGGAAGGUCAUUGGAAACUGUCCAACUUGAAUGCAGAAGAGGUAAGUGGAAUUCCAUGUGUAGCGGUGAAAUGCGUAGAUAUAUGGAGGAACACCAGUGGCGAAGGCGACUUACUGGUCUGUAAUUGACGCUGAGGCUCGAAAGCGUGGGUAGCGAACAGGAUUAGAUACCCUGGUAGUCCACGCCGUAAACGAUGAGUGCUAAGUGUUGGAGGGUUUCCGCCCUUCAGUGCUGGAGUUAACGCAUUAAGCACUCCGCCUGGGGAGUACGGCCGCAAGGCUGAAACUCAAAGGAAUUGACGGGGACCCGCACAAGCGGUGGAGCAUGUGGUUUAAUUCGACGCAACGCGAAGAACCUUACCAGCUCUUGACAUCUUCUGUUCACCCUAGAGAUAGGGCUUCCCCUUCGGGGGCAGAAUGACAGGUGGUGCAUGGUUGUCGUCAGCUCGUGUCGUGAGAUGUUGGGUUAAGUCCCAUAACGAGCGCAACCCUUAUUGUUAGUUGCCAGCAUUCAGUUGGGCACUCUAGCGAGACUGCCGGUGAUAAACCGGAGGAAGGUGGGGAUGACGUCAAAUCAUCAUGCCCCUUAUGAGCUGGGCUACACACGUGCUACAAUGGACGGUACAACGGGUAGCGAGGGCGCGAGCCUUAGCAAAUCCUAAUAAGCCGUUCUCAGUUCGGAUUGUUCUCUGCAACUCGAGAGCAUGAAGCCGGAAUCGCUAGUAAUCGCGGAUCAGAAUGCCGCGGUGAUACGUUCCCGGGUCUUGUACACACCGCC
rnacentral:rRNA from 1 species